GUGUAAGUAUAAAUAAUUUUACUUUGAAACUGCGAAUGGCUCAUUAUAUCAGUUAUAGUUUAUUAGAAAUACUUUACUACUUGGAUAACCGUAGUAAUUCUAGGGCUAAUACAUGACUAAAUCCUCAACUUCGGAAGAGGUGUGUUUAUUAGUAUGAAAACCAUAUAUCUUCGGAUAUAAUAGUGAGUAAUAAUAACCUUUCGUAUCGUAUGUCGUAAGAUAACGAUAGUUCUUUCAAGUUUCUGCCCUAUCAGCUUUCGAUGGUAGUAUAUGGGACUACCAUGGCAGUAACGGGUAACGAAGAAUUUGGGUUCGAUUUCGGAGAGGGAGCCUGAGAGAUGGCUACCACAUCCAAGGAAGGCAGCAGGCGCGUAAAUUACCCAAUCCUGACAUAGGGAGGUAGUGACAAUAAAUCACAAUGCGGAACUAUUUAGUUUUGCAAUUGGAUUGAGAACAAUGUACAAAUGUUAUCGAUAAACAAUUGGAGGGCAAGUCUGGG
rnacentral:rRNA from 1 species